rnacentral:lncRNA from 1 species
AAUGACCUUAAAGGGCCACAACAGUAAAUCAUUCUGAAUAGUGAUAUCACUGUAUUUCCUUCCAAUUAACCUCUUCGCGUCUGCAUAAACAAAAUUUAGGUGAUGUAUAAUUCGUUCUUUUCUAUUCAAAGCAUUAUGGAUAAGUAUUAUUAACCAGAUUAUUUAAUGUACAAACCAUUUAUGCAGACACCAAAAGAAGAAAAAUUACCAAAGAUAGUGUUGGCUGGAUUUGAAGCAGCUUGAUUUUUAGCAGCAUCACCAAUCAACCUUUGAUCACUAGAGAAAGCAACAAAAGAAGGCGUGAUUCUGUUUCCUUGUUCAUUGUGGAUAAUCUCAGUUCGGUUGUUUUGCCCCUGCCAUACAGCAACACAUGAAUAAGUCAUGCCAAGGUCGAUUCCAAUAGCAGGUCCCUCAUAUUUUUUGGCCAUUCUGUUUCAAGUGAAUGAAUCUAUUUUAGGGAAUUUGGAUAGAUAGAAUUUUUGAAUAUGUUUUUGGUUGGCUUUAAUAUACACCGUGAAAUGUAAAUUAGCUGAAUGCGUCCACUUUUUAAUCUUCUGUAAUAAAAGUUGUAUAUGCAUGUAUAUAGUUGGCUCCUUAAAUUCCAUAAAAUCAAUUAACACAUCUUUCCUAUACAAAUCCAUGACUUUUUAUUAUCCCCAUCACUAAAUAGGGUCUCUUUGUUUUCUUUUGUGAAGAAUAAACUGAAUGCUUUUGAGUGAUUUGUUUGAAGUAAAUGGAGAAAAUUGAUUAGUGAAUUUACUGUAUUUAUUUUGUAUAAGCACUACAUUUCUCUUUCUAAAUAUAAGAUCUCUUUGACUAAAUUGCAGAAUUAAAAAGUAGUAUUAAAUUUGUUAAAAUUAUUUUAGAAGUUUAUCCUUCAAGAGUGAGAGUUAACAUCGGGUUCUUAAUUCUCGCGUUCCAUUACUAUUGUAAUGACCAAUUAUGACGUCUGAAGGAUUCUUAUAGAUCAAGACGUUCACAAGAUAUAAUGUACACCAACUUCUCAUCGGUAAGAAAGAAGUAAGAAAGGCAAUAAAAUUGCAAUUCUUGGUAAUUAAUUGCAAGUCAAUUAACAAUUGUAUAAUUGUAUAAUAGGUCUCCUUACUUUGGCUACCAAGAGAAGGAUGACAACAAGGGGAAAUGACCUUUACUACUCGAGGGCAAGGAGAAACCAGAAGAUUAGAAGUCCAAAGACAAGGGAAGGGGACUCCUACUCAUUAAAGGGAAAUCAAGAGGCAUUGGAAGAUGUAUGAGCCAAGAUAAAAACUGACUCUUCAAUAGCAAGAAGUGAGGUCCAAACACCCCUGAUUCAAGCCAAAAAAGCGGGUUCUAUAGACUAUCAUUGUUUAUUUAACAUUGUUUUAUGCAUGGAUGACUUUCUCCAUCCAAAUUUUGUCUUUUGUUUUCCAUUUAUUUUUAUUCAAGAAUUAACUUCUUUAUUUAUUAACUGUAUGAUGAUCAAGUAAAG